UACGGGGGGAGCAAGCGUUGUUCGGAUUUACUGGGCGUAAAGGGCGCGUAGGCGGCCACCGCAAGUCGGUUGUGAAAUCUCUGGGCUUAACCCAGAAAGGUCAACCGAUACUGCGGGGCUAGAGUGCAGAAGGGGCAACUGGAAUUCUCGGUGUAGCGGUGAAAUGCGUAGAUAUCGAGAGGAACACCAGCGGCGAAGGCGGCAUCCUGGCCCUGUACUGACGCUGAGGCGCGAUAGCGUGGGGAGCAAACGGG
rnacentral:rRNA from 1 species